rnacentral:rRNA from 1 species
UACGUAGGUGGCAAGCGUUGUCCGGAAUUAUUGGGCGUAAAGCGCGCGCAGGCGGUUCUUUUAAGUCUGAUGUGAAAGCCCACGGCUCAACCGUGGAGGGUCAUUGGAAACUGGAGAACUUGAGUACAGAAGAGGAAAGCGGAAUUCCACGUGUAGCGGUGAAAUGCGUAGAGAUGUGGAGGAACACCGGUGGCGAAGGCGGCUCACUGGCUCGUAUCUGACACUCAAGCGCGACAGCGUGGGGAUCAAACAGG